AAAUUAAAUCUGUAAUUAGGUGUCUCAUCGUGAGGAGAAUAGGGAAUCAGGUGUAAGUCCUGGACGGGCCCGCCGCUGUAACUAGCUUGUUAGGUUAUAAAUGCCACCUGAAGUUAGGGAAGGUAGAACCUAAUAUUUUAAGCUAGAAGUCAGAAGACCUGCCUAAUUGUAGCCCUGCUA
rnacentral:ncRNA from 2 species